GGGGAUUUGGCUCAGUGGUAGAGCGCUUGUCUAGCAAGCACAAGGCCCUGGGUUCGGUCCCCAGCUCCG
rnacentral:tRNA from 1 species